GGGCCCAUGGUCUAGUGGUUAUGACAUCUGCUUGACACGCAGAAGAUCACCGGUUCGAGUCCGGUUGGGCCCACCA
rnacentral:tRNA from 1 species